CCUACGGGGGGCAGCAGUGGGGAAUAUUGCACAAUGGGGGAAACCCUGAUGCAGCGACGCCUCGUGAGUGAAGAAGUAUUUCGGUACGUAAAGCUCUAUCAGCAGGGAAGAAAAUGACGGUACCUGACUAAGAAGCCCCGGCUAACUACGUGCCAGCAGCCGCGGUAAUACGUAGGGGGCAAGCGUUAUCCGGAUUUACUGGGUGUAAAGGGAGCGUAGACGGCAGCGCAAGUCUGGAGUGAAAUCCCAUGGCUUAACCAUGGAACUGCCUUGGAAACUGUGCAGCUAGAGUGCAGGAGAGGUAAGCGGAAUGCCUAGUGUAGCGGUGAAAUGCGUAGAUAUUAGGAGGAACACCAGUGGCGAAGGCGGCUUACUGGACUGUAACUGACGUUGAGGCUCGAAAGCGUGGGGAGCAAACAGGAUUAGAUACCCUGGUAGUC
rnacentral:rRNA from 1 species